rnacentral:misc_RNA from 1 species
GAUGAAGAACGUAGCGAAAUGCGAUAAGUAGUGUGAAUUGCAGAAUUCAGUGAAUCAUCGAAUCUUUGAACGCACAUUGCGCCCCUUGGUAUUCCAUGGGGCAUGCCUGUUCGAGCGUCAUUUGUACCUUCAAGCUUUGCUUGGUGUUGGGUGUUUGUCUCGCCUUUGCGUGUACACUCGCCUUAAAAUAAUUGGCAGCCGGCGUAUUGAUUUCGGAGCGCAGUACAUCUCGCGCUUUGCACUCAUAACGACAGCGUCCAAAAGUACAUUUUACACUCUUGACCUCGGAUCAGGUAGGGAUACCCGCUGAACUUAAGCAUAUCAAUAAGCGGAGGA